UGCACUGAGACUGGCCCCCAGCAGCUUUGGAAAAUGGGAGGGAAAUGCGUCUGUGGCCUCAAAACAUGUUACAGGGAAGAGGAGGGGACUCCAGAUUGCUUUUGCUCUUGGUGCUUCACAGGUUGUUAUCAAAUGGCCCCUGCCAGACUGAAUUUCUUCCUGCAAAGAGGACAGUGCAGGUCUGCUGAUGGGUUUCCAACACAGGAAACUCAGGGGUUCUAAUACCUCCUCUUGACCCAGUAACUGACAAGCCCUGAGCCUCAGGAUUCCUGGCCCUGUCCCCUCUCAUCUCCUCUGCCAAACCAUGGUACUAGAAGAAAAUUACAAGAGUUUAUGUAUUUCAGAAAAUAUGCCACAAAUUGUGAAAGCGGUAUACAGCAGCUCAGCUUUGGGAAACACGAGUCCUGUCUGCUUAUGGAUGUAUUGAUUCAUGGGUAUUACACUUGUCUCCCAAGUUGCUUGCUGAUGCUUUCAAGGUCAGGUAAUCACAUUCUCCAAGGAACUAAGCAGAGUGGAUGGCCUCAUUUCUCCUCUGACCUGCAGGCUGGCUGGCUGGUUGCCUUGCUUCUGGGAAAUGGCCAGGCAGCCUGUUGCUCCCUGUGCCCCUCCCCGACCAGGCAGCUCACUCCCUUUGUAGUAGCCUCAUGUCAAAACCCAUCAGAAUAAGAGACUAUUAAUGAGGAUGGGAAGAGACAGAGAAAAGAGGAAAACACCACAGUAAGAUAAAAACAGAUCAAUAGUGAAGCUAAACAGAGCAAGAAGUUCUGAAAGCAAUUCAGGAGCUGUUAGCUUCUCAACAAACACAGGGUUUCUGAUAAUCUCAGAUGGACACAAAAAGGAGAGAGAUGGACAAAAAGCCAGAGAAGCACAUCAAGGGAAAGCAAUAAGGAGGCUUUACCCAGCCAGAACUCAUCCUCCAGGUUCCCGAAGCCAACACGGUACUCAGCCCAUUUCCGGAAAAAAUCAGUUUGGCCAUUCUGCCGCCUCUGGAAUACCUAUGAAGGAAAGAAAAACAAAAAACAAAAACAAAACCCAAAGAGUUGCUAAGGAAAAUAAACUGUGAUAAGUAAAAUUGAUAUAACUGGGUUUUAUAUCUGCAAUGACAAAGAUGUCCAAAGAAGGAACAUUUCAGAGCAGAGCUCAGUAUUUACACAGCAGUUUUUGUAGGAGACACUCAGAGCACUUCUCUUGUAGUGUAGAGGCCCCUGAUGAAUAGGCUGCAGUGUGAUGUUGACACUAAUU